UACCGGAGUAGGAGCUCCUGCUGCAGUGGUGGGGUUGGAAAGUUUCGGCGGUUGGGGAUGGACUCGCGGCUUAUCAGCUUGUUGGUGGGGUAGUGGCUUACCAGGGCUUUGACGGGUAGCCGGCCUGAGAGGGUGACCGGCCACAUUGGGACUGAGAUACGGCCCAGACUCCUACGGGAGGCAGCAGUGGGGAAUAUUGCACAAUGGGCGGAAGCCUGAUGCAGCAACGCCGCGUGCGGGAUGACGGCCUUCGGGUUGUAAACCGCUUUCGCCUGUGACGAAGCGUGAGUGACGGUAAUGGGUAAAGAAGCACCGGCUAACUACGUG
rnacentral:rRNA from 1 species